rnacentral:rRNA from 1 species
AAAGGAAUUGACGGGGACUCGCACAAGCGGAGGAUCAUGUGGUUUAAUUCGAUGGUAAACGAAAAACCUCACCAGGGUUAGAAAUCUAGCUGAAGACAGAUGGAAACAUUUGUUGUCUCACAAGGACAGCUGGACAGGUGAUGCAUGGCCGUCGUCAGUUCGUGGUUUGAAUUGUUCCCUUAAGUGGGGUAACGAACGCAACCCUUGUUGCCUGUUAUAUAUGUCAGGCGAGACUGCCCCCACAUCAGUUUUCAAUACUUAAAUGUAUUGAUUGAAAAUUGGUGUGGGGGAGGAAGGCAAGGAUGACGCCAGGUCAGCAUGUCCCUUUGAUACCCUGGGCUACACACGUGAUACAAUGGAUGCUACAACGCGAUGCGACGAAGUAAUUCUGAGCAAAUCGUCAGAAAAGCGUCCUAAGUUCGGAUUGAGGGCUGCAACUCGUCCUCAUGAAGUUGGAUUCGCUAGUAAUCUCGGGUCAGCCAUACCGAGGUGAAUACGUUCUCGAGUCUUGUACACACCGCCCGU